ACAGAGAGAUUCAACGCGAUGGGAUGCGGUGAGAAUGCCACUGUGGCAGUCUUCAAGGAUUCCGUCUACAGUUGAAAAAAAUGUAUGCUCAUUAUCAAAUAACAUCGUUUUUUAUUAUGAGCUUUAAUCCUGCCUCUUUGCAGGAAUGGAAAUGAUUCGUUCCUACAAGAAUCAGCCAUCGGAGAAUCCGCAAAGAACAUUUCAAACGGAGAUCCACUGGCUGAUCCUCCUGACUAUCAUUAUGCCUUGAGUUCAUUUAGCCAUCAUUUAUCGUUUCCAGCGAAGAACAGUCAAAAUAAAUACCUCCCUUCCUGCCUGAAAUGUAAUAAAAGCCAAAUUUGUGGCA